GUGUCAGCAGCCGCGGUAAUACGGAAGGGGCGAGCGUUGUUCGGAUUCAUUGGGCGUAAAGCGCGUGUAGGCGGUCUGGUCAGUCGAAGGUGAAAUCGCUACGGCUUAACCGAGCAAUUGCCCUCGAAACUGCCAGACUUGAGUGCGGAAGAGGUGAGUGGAAUUCCCAGUGUAGCGGUGAAAUGCGUAGAUAUUGGGAGGAACACCAGUGGCGAAGGCGGCUCACUGGUCCGCAACUGACGCUGAGACGCGAAAGCGUGGGGAGCGAACGGGAUUAGAUACCCCCGUAGUCC
rnacentral:rRNA from 1 species